AUGAAAGGAGCUAUAGCUACUCUAUAGCUGCAGAGGUAGGCUCAAUUGGCCGAACUGCAUUAACAAACGUUCUUGUUGUCUAUUACUUCGUUGUGGUCUAUUGUAACUCUGAGCAAUUUCACGGGGGUGCCUACGCUAACACAAAUAAAGCUUUAUGAUCAGUGAUUUUCGCCCUUCUAUCUCUGCCAUUGCCAUUGGAGAGAAAGAGAUAGUGUGUGAGAGAGAGACUUUGUGUCUGUUCUGAACUUGACGAGAGAAUUUAUAUCUUUUGUUGUGAUUUUUAAUAAUUAAUCAAUAUCAAUAUCAAUCAAUAUAUUUAUUAAAACAACAAGGAUUAUAAAACUUAUUUGCUUAUGUGUCGGCUCCUCAUACAUUCUCUUCUCUGGUGCAAUCUUACCGUUGAGUGGAAUUCCAACGUGGCUCAUUCUCCUUACUUCCCUCCAUUCCGUGAUGAUGUGUCAUAUUCUCCUUAAUUCUCCUACUCCAGUCAGAUUUUGCGUGGAACCUUACCAUUGGACAACCUGUAUCAUUUGUCUCCUUUUUAAAACGUUGGUUCACGUUUCUUCUUUUUUAAAUUUUCUGAAUCAUUCAAUGUGUAUCAACAAACUGUUUCAAAUUCAAAAAAAAAAAAACAAACUGUUUCAUUUAUUAAUUCCUUAUUUCCAAUCUACUCUCCUUGGAAUUGACUCACGGUGCCACCCUUCAUGCCCAAUCGUAAAUAUCCAUUUUUUUUCCCCACAAUUCUAAUCUCACGUGAUUCAAUUUGCCCAAUCAUGUUAAACUUUUUCCACUGAUCUUCAUUAACGGAGAAAUCUAUGGUGUCACCCAUUUUAUGGGGUUCACCGGUGCCCCCAUGGAAAAAACUUUAGUAAAAAGGGGGACACUGAAAAUCUAUUUAAUUUCCACCAUUGAUAUAAUAUUUAAAAAAUUGAAUGGUUUAGAUUAAAUUAACAAAGUGACCAAAAUACCCAUAUCAAACCCUAACUUUGUCUUCAAUUAAAAAAAAAAAAAACUUCUUUCUUCCUCCCAAUGCCCACAACCACCUCUGCAGCUCCGCCCACACCUGGUCCUCCUCCGCCCACGAUGCUGCAAAACCUUUGACUUCUUCCACCUCCCAUGACCAUCACGGCAUCACCCCACCCCUUAUUCUGCUAUAUUCAGAUUUAGUAAUACAUCUUCUCAACAAAAUGGAUCCUUUAACCAUAUCAUUUGGUUCUAUAUAUAUAAUAUAUAACUGGAUUUGAUGAAGAAGGCAACACACACGCUAAUAUUAAUCCAUGCUCUGUCUUGCAUGCAGCUUGCCAUCUGGAUCCUAUCCAGCCAAUUCCCACCGAGUCUCUCUGGAUAAUUUCCACUCAGUUGCGUGCUUGGGUGCUUAAGCCAUGGUACCUUAAUCAUGUUUAUCAAUAGCAGGCAUAGGCAUUCGUCUUAUGUACGUGGUAAACUUGUUAGUGAGGUGUUUUUCUAAAGGUGAUUUCUGUCCUACCUUAAAUCAGAUUAAGAUUUAAUACUUAGAAUGAUGUGUAUCAAUAAUAUAUAUGUUUUGAUUGAAAUAUUUGUAUUAACACUAGGAUUGUGACCCGUGCUGUGCACGGGGUCUUUAUACACAAUUUUUUUAUGUUAAUAUCUAAUCGAACAAUAUAGCAAUUGAGUGCG
rnacentral:lncRNA from 1 species